AUUGAACGCUGGCGGAAUGCUUUACACAUGCAAGUCGAACGGUAGAGGGGGCAACCCCUUGAGAGUGGCGAACGGGUGAGUAAUAUAUCGGAACGUACCCUAGAGUGGGGGAUAACGCAGCGAAAGUUGCGCUAAUACCGCAUACGAUCUACGGAUGAAAGUGGGGGAUCGCAAGACCUCAUGCUCAUGGAGCGGCCGAUAUCUGAUUAGCUAGUUGGUGGGGUAAAGGCCUACCAAGGCAUCGAUCAGUAGCUGGUCUGAGAGGACGACCAGCCACACUGGAACUGGGACAC
rnacentral:rRNA from 1 species